UUUUGUGUUUUUUUUGCAGCAUGAUUUUAGUUUAAUGAAUACGAAAGUCUUUGCGAACCUAAAAGGCUCUGGCGGUAACAUAUGGGAAGUCUUUGAAGUUUUAGAUGAUGCCCGACGUGCUAUUUUCAGAAAUACCGUCUUUGGCUAUUUUAUUGAUGUCCCUCGUUUACAAGGGGACGCUUUAUUGUUUUAUAAAAUGUUCCUUCAUCAGAUCCGGCCGGACCCUGUUUUAUCACCAGAUGGAAUAAAACGUUUAUAUUUUCGAGUAGGCAAUACCAAAAUGGUUUAUGGGCCGGAAGAGUUUUGUUUGAUUACCGGCUUCAAUUUUGGGGAGUAUCCAAAAAACAUUGGGAGAAAAGGGUCGGAAAAAUUAAUAAGCAGUAAAAAAAAGAUGUUUACUGCGUGAACGGCUAUUUCCGGACCAUACUAAUAGUUCGGUGAAAAUCGGCGACCUGAAAAGUUUAAUUUUAAAUCAAACAUUCCUAGCACUUGACGACCUUGAUGCAGUUAGAGUAUGUUUGAUAUACAUUUUGUGUGAAUGUUUUUUGGGCAAAGAAGUUAACGAUCGGGUGCCACAAGAUUGGUUUUAUUUGGCUGAGAAUUUGGAUCUCUGGAAUAGGUAUAUUUUCUUUACGUUAAAAGUUCUAUUUUAUUAAAGUUAUAAUUUAUAUAAUAAUCAAUUUUGUUUUUUUUGUUUUGUUAGCUUCGCUUGGGGUAGCUAUCUAUGGGAUUUAGUUAUGUUGACCUUAAGGAUACGUGGAAUAAGAUACAUCAUUAUUUAUCACUUCCUGAGCGUGGUCAAACUUUAAAGUAUUCCGUCUCAGGAUUUACGGCUCCAAUUAGGAUAUGGAUAUAUGAGAUGAUUCCGGCUGUUCGUGCAUGUGGAUUUGCAUUGAGAAAAAAUAAAGACUUGCCUCGGAUGAAAAGAUGGAGCGGAACAAAAAAAUUGAAAUGGGUUGACGUGAACAAGAUUUGGUCAAAGAUGCAGGUUUAAAAAUAUUUCGUUUAUUAUUAAUAAAGUUGAUUAUUAUAGUUUUAUAUGCAUUUUUAAUAUGUUUAAUUUUUUA